rnacentral:rRNA from 8 species
GGACUGAGACACGGCCCAGACUCCUACGGGAGGCAGCAGUGGGGAAUUUUGGACAAUGGGCGCAAGCCUGAUCCAGCAAUGCCGCGUGUGUGAAGAAGGCCUUCGGGUUGUAAAGCACUUUUGUCCGGAAAGAAAACCUCUUGGUUAAUACCUGAGGGGGAUGACGGUACCGGAAGAAUAAGCACCGGCUAACUACGUGCCAGCAGCCGCGGUAAUACGUAGGGUGCAAGCGUUAAUCGGAAUUACUGGGCGUAAAGCGUGCGCAGGCGGUUCGCUAAGACAGAUGUGAAAUCCCCGGGCUUAACCUGGGAACUGCAUUUGUGACUGGCGGGCUAGAAGUAUGGCAGAGGGGGGUAGAAUUCCACGUGUAGCAGUGAAAUGCGUAGAGAUGUGGAGGAAUACCGAUGGCGAAGGCAGCCCCCUGGGCCAAUACUGACGCUCAUGCACGAAAGCGUGGGGAGCAAACAGGAUUAGAUACCCUGGUAGUCCACGCCCUAAACGAUGUCAACUAGUUGUCGGGUCUUCAUUGACUUGGUAACGUAGCUAACGCGUGAAGUUGACCGCCUGGGGAGUACGGUCGCAAGAUUAAAACUCAAAGGAAUUGACGGGGACCCGCACAAGCGGUGGAUGAUGUGGAUUAAUUCGAUGCAACGCGAAAAACCUUACCUACCCUUGACAUGUAUGGAACCCUGCUGAGAGGUGGGGGUGCCCGAAAGGGAGCCAUAACACAGGUGCUGCAUGGCUGUNGUCAGNUCGUGUCGUGAGAUGUUGGGUUAANUCCCGCAACGAGCGCAACCCUUGUCCCUAGUUGCUACGCAAGAGCACUCUAGGGAGACUGCCGGUGACAAACCGGAGGAAGGUGGGGAUGACGUCAAGUCCUCAUGGCCCUUAUGGGUAGGGCUUCACACGUCAUNCAAUGGUCGGAACAGAGGGUCGCCAACCCG